rnacentral:lncRNA from 1 species
CUCUCUCUUCACUCAAGCUCCCACUCUCCUCUCCUCUCUCAUGUCCUGUCCCAGCUCUUUGGGUGGAAGCAGGCUCUGUUCCAUCAUAGCACUCCUACCUCAUCAUUGUAGAAGGCCAGAGUCAGCCCAGAUAUUCAGCAGCUGUUAGUUAAAGCUGCUGCUCAGUGCUUUACUCUACAGUAUGUAGACAGUGAAGCUGAGGAGGACUGGUGUGUGUGUGCGUGUGUGUGUGUGUGUGUGUGUGUGCGUGUGCGUGCGCGUGCGCGCGUGCGCGUGUGCGUGUGUGUGUUCUGCAGUAUAUCACAGCACAGCCAACAAGAACGUAUGCCCACUCACACACAGUGCAUCACGCUACAUACAACCAACAGGUAUGUACAGGACCGGCCUUCCCAUUACCCCGUCAUACACAGUGUAUCACGCUACAUACAACCAACAGGUAUGUACAGGACCGGCCUUCCCAUUACCCCGUCACACACAGUGUAUCACGCUACAUACAACCAACAGG